rnacentral:ncRNA from 2 species
CUCUGGAAAGCAACGGCCACAGCCGUUCACCGACGGGUGCAAGCCGCGUUGUAGCGAUGCGGCGAAAUCUCUCAGGUUCCCAGACAGAG